rnacentral:tRNA from 1 species
GCGCCCGUAGCUCAGCUGGAUAGAGUACCUGGCUACGAACCAGGGGGUCAGGAGUUCGAAUCUCUUCGGGCGCG